ACGUAAAUGGAGCGCGCUCAAACUUCCCAUCAUUCUGAUUACGGUAGUCAUUUUGUCACCCUCAUCAUGGCAAAGACACGGAGAAAUGCAUAUGAUGCAGCUUUCAAGUUGAAGGCGAUCGAUCUGGCUGUUGGAAAAGGAAAUAGAGCUGCUGCACGGGAGCUUGGCCUUAAUGAGUCGAUGAUAAGACGUUGGAAACAGCAGCGCGAGGAACUGACUCCGUGCAAGAAGACAACAAAAGCUUUCAGAGGGAAGAAAAGCAGAUGGCCCGAACUAGAAAAUGAGCUUGAAGACUGGGUCAACACACAGAGAGCAGACGGCCGAGGUGUUUCAACUGUGCAGAUCCGACUGAAAGCCAAAACAAUCUCCAGCGCAAUGAAGUUUGAGGAUUUUAGAGGUGGACCAUCGUGGUGUCUAAGAUUUAUGAGACGUAAAGGCCUGUCCAUCAGGCAUACAGGCGAGCCAAACAAGGAGAUGGAGCAGCCAGCUCAGUCUGGAGCAUCAGUGGAUUCUAUGGGCCCAGGAGCAUCACGCAACAAUGCACCAACAGCCUCGGCAGAUGGAAACAGUGGGGAUGAUGCUACCAAUGCAGUCAGUGCAAGUACCUCAACUAUAGACGGGGCAGGGGAUGCUGGUAAUACAGAAACUGUGAAGGAAUCCUUUGUAGAGAAUUCAAAGACAGUGGAAGAAAUGAUAACCGAUGCCUUGCUGACUGUGGGAGAAAUGGCCAGUGAAGAGGAUUCACAGAGAGGAAGAGAAACAGCCAGUGUAGAUGGUUCACAGAAGGAGAGAGAAACAGCCAGUGUCGAUGAUUCACAGACGGAAAGAGAAACAGACAGUGUAGAUGGUUCACAGACGGAAAGAGAACCAGCCAGUGUAGAUGCUUCACAGACGGAAGGAGAAACAGACCAUGUGGAUGCUUCACAGACUGUAGGAGAAACGUCCAGUGUGGAUGCUUCACAGAUGGAAGGAGAAACAGACCGUGUGGAUGCUUCACAGACUGUAGGAGAAACGUCCAGUGUGGAUGCUUCACAGAUGGAAGGAGAGACGGCCAGUGUGGAUCCUUCACGGGCGGAAGGAGAAACGGCCAGUGUGGAUCCUUCACGGGCGGAAGGAGAAACAGCCAGCGUGGAUGCUUCACAGAUGGAAAGAGAAACGUCCAGCGUGGAUGCUUCACAGACGGAAAGAGAAGCGGCCAGCGUGGAUGCUUCACAGACGGAAAGAGAAAUGGCCAGCGUGAAUGCUUCACAGACGGAAAGAGAAACUGCCAUCGUGGAUGCUUCACAGACGGAAAGAGAAGCGGCCAGCGUGGAUGCUUCACAGACGGAAAGAGAAACGGCCAGCGUGGAUGCUUCACAGACGGAAAGAGAAACGGCCAGCGUGGAUGCUUCACAGACGGAAAGAGAAACGGCCAGCGUGGAUGUUUCACAGACGGAAAGAGAAACGGCCAGCGUGGAUGCUUCACAGACGGAAAGAGAAGCGGCCAGCGUGGAUGCUUCACAGACGGAAAGAGAAGCGGCCAGCGUGGAUGCUUCACAGACGGAAAGAGAAGCGGCCAGCGUGGAUGCUUCACAGACGGAAAGAGAAGCGGCCAGCGUGGAUGCUUCACAGACGGAAAGAGAAGUGGCCAGCGUGGAUGCUUCACAGACGGAAAGAGAAGCGGCCAGCGUGGAUGCUUCACAGACGGAAAGAGAAGCGGCCAGCGUGGAUGCUUCACAGACGGAAAGAGAAGCGGCCAGCGUGGAUGCUUCACAGACGGAAAGAGAAACGGCCAGCGUGGAUGCUUCACAGACGGAAAGAGAAACGGCCAGCGUGGAUGCUUCACAGACUGAAACAGCAAGUGCAGAUGGUUCACAGAAGGAAAGAAAAACAGCCAGCGUAGAUGCUUCAGAAACAGCCAGUGCAGACGCUUCACAGACGGAAAGAGAAAGGGCCAGCGUGGAUGCUUCACAGACGGAAAGAGAAACAGCCAGUGCUGAUGCUUCGCAGACGGAAAGAGAAACGGCCAGCGUGGGUGCUUCACAGACGGAAAGAGAAACAGCCAGUGCUGAUGCUUCGCAGGCAGUCGGAGAAACCGUUGGCUCAGAUGCACCCCAGACUGUGGAAGAAACAGGCAAUACAAAUGCUUCACAGACUAAUGGUGGAACAGACAGCACAGACAUACCUCUGGACAUGGGAGUAGUGGAUGCCGAUGAUGAGAUGGAGGUCAAUGCUAUCAAAGUGGAGGAGGAACAGAUGCAGGAGGAACACAACUUGGAGGGGAUGCCCGUGAUAACUGCUGUGGAAGAGGGAAGCGACAUGGACGCUUUUAGCAGCAACUCCCUGGAUCAUGGGGAUGAAGUGGAGAAGAUGGACACCGGGACAGAUGCACUGACGGAGAAGCAACGAGAGAAGCCCAAGGACACCGAGCAACCUGCUGAGCAGACCAGCUUUGAGGAGGCCAGCGGCUCGUCUCCACCUAUGGAGGGGGACCAUUCUGAAGAUGUCAAACCAUUUCACCCCAGUCCCACCUCUAGCGAAGCUUUUCUCCCACAGAACAGUAAAGGCUCUGACAGUCCUGCAGGGCUGGAGAAUGGAGUGACAGGACAGCCAGUCAAAGCUGUGGAUUCUGCCCAGCCGACAGCAGAGCCUGUGUCCACCAUCGUUGACACACUCUCCAUGGUGAAUGUGAAGGAUGAGCCAGUGGAUGAGGAGUAUGACCAGGCCCUGGCUCCAGUCGUCCUCACAGAGGGCGUCAAGGAUGAACCAGACGCAGCAGAGGAGUUGAAAAUCAGUAACGUCUUCUCUGUGGGCGGCGCCCCUACCCCAAUCGCCACAUCCAUACCAGUGACCUCCCUCUCCAAGACUGUAAUGCCUCCCUUGACCCCGGCCGCCUCCUCCAUCCCUCCGCUGAUGCCCAUGGCUAUGCGGGUGGCCUGCUCGGCCUGUAACAAGGUGUUACUGAAGGGCCAAACAGCCUACCAGAGGAAGGGCUCCUCAGACCUCUUCUGCUCCACGUCCUGUCUCACCUCCUAUAGUCCCCCGUCUGUCGUCAAGACGACUGCCCCCUGCCCAGCCAAGAAACCCUGCCACUACUGCCUCAAGGAGAUUGCAAACCCCAAGGACGUGAUCACAGCUCCUGUGGACACCAUGGGCACGGUGAAGGACUUCUGUAGCCAGACCUGCCUCUCCUCCUUCAACUUCAAGAGGAACUCUGCCGUCUCCACCCUCUCCUCCUCCCUCUCCACCAUGACUGGGGCCGUCAAGUGCAGCAUGUGCAAAAAGGCCUGCAUUAGUAAACACGAGGUGAUCUUCCAGGGCAGCAUGCACAGGCUGUGCAGCGAGGUGUGCUUCACGCGCUUCCGCUCCACCAACAAGCUGUCCAUGAACAGCUGUCAGAGCUGCAACAACUACUGCUAUGGAAAGGUCACCGUGCUGGUCAUGCAGGGGGUCAAUAAGACCUUCUGCAGCGCCGGCUGUGUCACCACCUUCAAACAGAAAGCUAAGAAGUCUGUGGCAUGUACUAUGUGCCGCAAGUUCCGCGCACCAGUGGAGAUGGUCGACAGCGCCGACUCUGAUGGCAAGCUGGAGAUGUUCUGCUCUACUGGCUGUGUUACAGCCCACAAAGUACAGACCGUCAGCUCCUCAGGUGCUCAGGUAGAGUGCAACACCUGUGGUCAGAAGACGGUGCCCUCCUUCCACCUGGCCAUGUCGGACGGCUCCAUCCGGAACUUCUGCACCAUGAACUGUGUCGUCACCUUUCAGGAUCAGUUCAAUAAGAGCAACUCCCAGAGCCAGAUGAACGUGACCCCCGGGACAGGGACCACCGCGGCACCGGGCCAGACCAGGGACAGGGGAUCCCAAGGGACCAAACUGCCCUGCUUCCAGUGCCACCACCUAUUCUCCUCCAAGCCCGAGCUCAUUCAGUUCAAGGAUAAGAUGGUAUUCCUCUGUUCGGUAAAUUGCUCCGAGGAGUACAGAAAGUUCAACUAUGAGAUGGCGCGCUGCGAGUACUGCAAGAUUGAGAAGCCAGCCAAGGAGGUCAAGAGAAUCAACAAUAGGGACUACACCUUCUGCAGUGAAGGCUGUAAGCUGCUCUACAAGCACGAUCUGACCAAGCGCUGGGGGAAACACUGCAGAACCUGUGCCUACUGCGCCUCUACCGCGCAGGAGGCCGUCACGGGCCAGUACGGAGGCAAGGUGGAGGAGUUCUGCUCGGAUGAGUGCAAGUCCCACUACACCCUGCUCUUUUGUCAGGUGGCCAAGUGUGACGCGUGCGAGCGCCAGGGGAAGCUGAUUGAGACCCUGCCGAUGCUGGGCGAGGUGAAGCACUUCUGCAACCUCCAGUGUCUGCUCGACUUCUGCAGCCUGCAGACCCAGAACCAGGGCAUGCCCCAGGGCCAAAAGGUGGCCAUGUCAAUUGCUCAAUCCCCCUCCAAUACUACCACUGCUACGAGCGUGUCUGAUCCCGUCAUCGCCAACGUAGUCUCACUAGCCAGCUCCCCCAUUGGCCAGCCCAACUACACCACUGCUCUGCAAGGGACUGUUCCAAGAAGACAUGUGAAGUAUGUUGGAAAUGCCAGCACACAGACUCAGGCCCCUCGGGCCCCUCCACCCAAGGUUCAGAAGAACAAGGCACUACUCUGUAAACCUAUGGUCCAGAACAAGGGCAUCAUGUGUAAACCCAACUUCACCACCUCAGGGUGCCAGACAGAUGAUAAUUUCCCCAAGGUGAUCGUAGUGCCUGUCCCAGUACCGGUGUAUGUUCCAGUCCCCAUGAACCUGUACACCCAGUACGCCCCCCAGCCUGUUGGACUCCCCAUACCGCUGCCCGUGCCCAUGUUCCUGCCGGUGACUCUGGACAACGCUGAGCGCAUCGUGGAGACCAUCCAGGACAUCAAGGAGAAGAUCCCCUCUGACCCGUUUGAGGCAGACCUCAUCCUCAUGGCCGAGAUGGUAGCCGAGGAGGGGAGGGAGAAGUCCCCGCAGCGACCCCCUGAAAGGCCAGCCCCAGCAGUACAAGAUGAUAUGAGAAGUUUGCCUCGCCUCUCUACUAUAGAUUCUUCUUUUUUAACCCUUAUUGUAGACCAGGGAAGCACCUACAGUGGAGACCUGGACACAGAAGAAUUGAGUAACUUCCUCACCUCUUGGCACGACGAGCCACCUCCCACCCCCGGCGUCUCCUCGCGCCACAGUCGACCCUAUGCCCACGAGACGCUCCGACCCAUCAUGGACAUCCACACCCCCAUCACACCCCCACCCCCAAUCAUGGAUAUAGAGGCCGACUUCCCUGUCCAAACCCUGGAGCUGAUGGCCCAUUGGAGGGAUCAGGAGAGGGAUAGAAGUCCCAGUCCUCCACCUUCUCCUCCACGACGAAGAGCCAGAAGGAAAGCUCGGGAUGGCUUGCCACAGAAGAAAAAGAGGCGUAAGUCGAAAGCAGCAGAGACUGCGUCAGUGGUGGCGUCACUGGGUGAGGCGCAGAGUGACGUGGUGCCCGGCGAGCCCCCUAAACUGCAGCACAUGUACGGGGUGGACGCCUGGAAGAGAUGGGUCCAGUGGAGCAAGACCCAGCCAGACCUGGAGAAGCCUCGAUUUGGCUCGCGACCAAUGGAGAUAAAAGAGGAUGUUUUAAAGUGCACUACAGCAGAGCUGGGCUACGGUCUCUGUCGGUUUAUUUGUGAAGUGAAACGACCCAACGGCGAGUCCUACAGCCAGGACAGUCUGUUCUAUCUCUGUCUCGGCAUCCAGCAGUACUUAUUUCAGAAUGGGCGCAUGGAGAACAUAUUCACUGAUCUCUUCUAUGGCAAGUUCACCCUGGAGAUCACCAAGCUGCUGAAAGGCUUCAAACCUACCAUAACGGCCAGUGGCUACCUGCACUCGCGGGUGGAGGAGGAGUACCUGUGGGACUGUAAACAGCUGGGGGCCUACUCUCCCAUCGUGCUGCUCAACACGCUGCUCUUCUUCUGCACCAAGUUCUUCCAGUUCAAGACGGUGGCCCAGCACCGCCAGCUCUCCUUUGCCCACGUUAUGCGCUGCACCAAGUCCAUCCACGACAACACCAAGUCCAACUUCCUGCGCUUCUACCCGCCCAUCCCCAAGAAAGACCUAGCUACUGAGACAGCAGCGGAUGUAGAUGGUGUGGCAGCGAAGAGGAAGAGGGAUGACGAGGAGAAAGAGGAGGUGCUGGAGAUGAUGGAGAACAGUGAGAAUCCCCUCCGCUGUCCUGUCCGAUUGUACGAGUUCUACCUUUCCAAGUGCUCGGACUCGGUAAAGCAGCGCACCAACGUGUUCUUCCUGCUCCCGGAGCGCUCGUGCGUCCCCAACAGCCCCAUGUGGUUCUCCUCCCAGGGCCUGGACGACCACACCUUGGACACCAUGCUGACACGCAUCCUCACCGUCAGGGAGAUUCAUCUGGGAGACCCCCAGAGGAACAAGCCCCAGUCCAAGGACCCUGAGUGGGUCCCCGACCAACAUGACGACAACUCGGAUUGACCAUGAGGACUGACGCAGAAGCCGGACCCGAAGACGUUCAAGCAGCACUUUGAGAGCAAGCAUCCCAAAUCCCCAAUGCCCCCAGAGCUGGAUGAUGUUGAGGCUUAAAAGACCAACACACACAAUGGACCUACAGCUGGGUUAAGAUGCUCUCAUCAUUCAGACUCACAGUUUACAUACACACGAUGACCACAAUUAGAGCGCUGCAACUGGAAUUUAAUGGCAUCAAGAGACAAAAUACUGAGACCCCUGGACAUGGGUGGGGGAUAUUUGUGACAAUGACCUAAAAAGGGGGGCAGAAGCACACCAGCACCCCAUCUUAUAUGUCCAACCACCCCUCAACUUCAGACUCUUUUGAAGCGCCCAUCUUAAUUAUAUGAGCCCACUCUACCUACAUCCCUUUUUCCCAUGCUGCUUCCUUCAUUAAUACCUGAUUCAGUAACAUCUAGACUGUUACGCGUCUAAAAGUAUCAGGGUGUUACUGUUUUUGCAACUUUUUCUCAGUUGUGUACCGCAGUCUUACUUUAACCCACAACUCUUUUCUAUACCUCCUCCCAUACACUCUUGUGCAAAUCAUUUCUGCUUUCUUUGAGAAUGGUGUCAUAGUGGAAAGGAUUUGUUAUUUGCCCAAGACUGAGUCUUGUUCUGCCUGUAAAAGGCCCUGGUUGAAACAGUGCCAAAAUCACUGUGGAUAGUCACCUGGUCCACGUUGUAACAGUUGUAUUUUGAAUUUGACCAUUUCCAAGAAAUGUAGCAAUAUAUAUGAAAUCAUUCCUCUACCUAUUUGAUCCAUUCUGAUGGAAAGCAGUGAAUAUGUUGUAUGUGUGAGAGAAUAUGUAUGCCUUGUAAUUCUAGCAGAAAAUGUGUUGCUUCCAAAUGCAAGUUAAACGCCAUUCCUUCUAUACUGAUACCAGACAAAUGCAUACUUACAAGUAUUUUCAAAUGUAUUUCCAAUAUACUGGAAUGCUAUGUAGCUGAAGAGUGGUGACACUGUUUAGGAUAGGAGUGUCAAUCAGUUUCUGGAGGUCUGUGUUCACUGGCAUUUCCUCUCACUUCUGCAUCAAAUCAACCUCUGCAAUAAAUAUUCUAGUUUAUUUUAUUACAAAUAUAGCAGUACACAGUCCUCCAUAAAUAUGUUGACAAUGACACAUUCCUGUGUAUUGGAUCCUCUCUACAUAGAAAAACGACAAAAUUGAAUUGGACAUUUUCCAUUGCUACUAACUUGUACUGGUUACAGGUAGAACAAAAGAAAUGCACACACUUAUGGCCCAUAUAUUUAGCGUUUUAAUUGAACCAUGUGUAGUACAUCUAAAAGAGACAAUGAGAAAUUCUUGGUUCAACAAGACAACAGUCAUCAAAAGGGUAGAAAUGUAGCAUUGUACUUGUGUCACAGUACUUUACAGCUUUGAUUGGACUCAUAUAAUAUAUGACAAAGGGUGAUGUAAUUAUCUGAAUUACUGUAGAUUUGAAUAGUUUAAGAGUGAAGUAGGGUUAUAAGUUGAAUGUGAAGAUCCGUCGUUAUGAAAGAGGUAAUUGGUGUUAUUCAUAUACCAUUCUCAAAGUCAAUAUACUGAACAAAAAUAUAAACACCACAUAUAAAGUGUUGGUCCCAUGUUUCAUGAACUGAAAUAAAAGAUCCCAGAAAAGUUC